rnacentral:rRNA from 1 species
UACGGAGGGUGCGAGCGUUGUCCGGAAUCAUUGGGCGUAAAGGGCGCGUAGGUGGCCCCUCAAGCGUGCGGUGAAAGUCAGGGGGCUCAACCCCUGAUCGGCCGUGCGAACUGGGGAGCUUGAGCACUGUAGAGGCAGGCGGAAUUCCGGGUGUAGCGGUGGAAUGCGUAGAGAUCCGGAAGAACACCGGUGGCGAAGGCGGCCUGCUGGGCAGUUUUGCUGACACUGAGGCGCGACAGCGUGGGGAGCAAACAGG